rnacentral:tRNA from 1 species
UGGUCAAUUAAGUAUUUAGUACGAUGGAUUUAGAAUCUAUAAGUUAUUUUGAUGUU